GGUUCAUAAAGCACACCUGCUGCAGUCCUCUGAGCUGCAGCGGGGGCUUGCUAUCUGUACUUGAAGGUGUAGGAUGAGUCAGGACCACCCAGCUCUGUACAGGUGGCAGCGGUCUCUGUGGAUGUCAGGUGAGAGUACAGAUGCCUCAGAUGGGGGCACAGUGCCAUCUGGUGGAAGUCAGGAGAACUGCAGCAGGAGUUCUGAGACUGCAGCAGCUCCAUGAAGCAGGUCAGUGAUGGGACAGUGUCAGCGCUGAUUAACUCUCCAUCUAUUUAUAAAGACCAGCUUGUUAAGUGAGCCGGCCAUGACUCAGCAUCAAUUAUUCAUUCUUCUAGUCUCAACUGAAUGUCUGUUACAUAAUGCUGU